GUGCAAUGAUGCUUAUUAACACAUCAUUCUUUAAAAAAAUGUGUAGAAAACUAAUAACUGAGCAUA